GCGGGUGUGGUGGAAUUGGUAGACACGCUAGAUUUAGGAUCUAGUGCCGCGAGGCGUGGGAGUUCGAGUCUCCCCACCCGCA
rnacentral:tRNA from 1 species